UUCAAGGUGUUUUUAACAUUGUGGUAUAAAAAUAAUAUAGACAUUGGAGGAAGUUAAUCCCAGUGAGGUUGAAGCUGUCUUUAAACCAUUAGGAGCAGAGGCGAGGGAGUUGUCCGUGUAAUUUUCAAAGGAAAGAUAUCAUUUUCAUUGUUGUUAUAUCACCACUUGUGCUUCUUACUUCUUAACUUGUUAUUUUACACUGUUCUUAAUCUUACUCAUAUUAUGGAAGCAGUUGAAGCUUAAGUGGAAUGGUUCCAAAUCAGUUAUUAAGCAUCCUCGAUGCAGUAUCAGGAGGAAAUCAAGUUAUGUUGAUGCUGAGGUAUUUGCAUUUGUAAAAACAGACAGCGCUAACUCGCCCCAUAGAGCAAAGUUGAUUAUUUUUGCAGAAUUGAAGAGGGUUCGCAACUGAUUUUCUUGUUUAGAAAUGGAUUUGAAUGGAGUCUUGCUGAAAUCAACACACAUGGCCUCUCAGCAGAUAACAGAAGAAGCUGUUUACCUUUGCACUGGAAAUCCAUUGCCCAAAGACAUUGAGCAAAUAUCUUACUGGCUUCUAAAUGAACAAUAUUCAGAGAGCUUUAAAAGAAUUAAUGAUAUGAAAACAAGGAAAGGACUCGCCCUUGUUGAUGUUGUAAGAGAAGUGACAAU